rnacentral:rRNA from 1 species
UACGGAGGGUGCAAGCGUUAUCCGGAUUUACUGGGUUUAAAGGGUGUGUAGGCGGGCUAUUAAGUCAGUGGUGAAAUCUCCGGGCUCAACCUGGAAACUGCCAUUGAUACUAUUAGUCUUGAAUUCUGUUGAGGUUGGCGGAAUAUAUCAUGUAGCGGUGAAAUGCAUAGAUAUGAUAUAGAACACCGAUUGCGAAGGCAGCUAACUAAACAGACAUUGACGCUGAGGCACGAAAGCGUGGGGAUCAAACAGG